GACCUGGUGGUGGAUGGUUCACACCCACCCUUCUUAACUGUCUUCCAAAUAUAGGAAGUGGGAGUACUCGGUUCGAUUCCGGGUUGGGUCA